rnacentral:rRNA from 1 species
UGGGGAAUCUUGCGCAAUGGCCGAAAGGCUGACGCAGCGACGCCGCGUGGGGGAUGACGCAUUUCGGUGUGUAAACCCCUGUUGCCCGGGACGAACACCUCCUUUUGGGGAGGCUGACGGUACCGGGUGAGGAAGCACCGGCUAACUCCGUGCCAGCAGCCGCGGUAAUACGGAGGGUGCGAGCGUUGUCCGGAAUCACUGGGCGUAAAGGGCGCGUAGGCGGCUACUUAAGCGUGUGGUGAAAGUCCGGGGCUCAACCCCGGAUCGGCCGUGCGAACUGAGUGGCUUGAGCACUGUAGAGGCAGGUGGAAUUCCGGGUGUAGCGGUGGAAUGCGUAGAGAUCCGGAAGAACACCGGUUGGCGAAGGCGGCCUGCUGGGCAGUGGCUGACGCUGAGGCGCGACAGCGUGGGGAGCAAACA